AACCAGCACCUCAAGUGGUCAGGAUGAUUAUUGGGCCUAAAGCAUCCGUAGCCGGCUCUGUAAGUUUUCGGUUAAAUCUGUACGCUCAACGUACAGGCUGCCGGGAAUACUGCAGAACUAGGGAGUGGGAGAGGUAGACGGUACUCGGUAGGAAGUGGUAAAAUGCUUUGAUCUAUCGAUGACCACCUGUGGCGAAGGCGGUCUACCAGAACACGUCCGACGGUGAGGGAUGAAAGCGUGGGGAGCAAACAGG
rnacentral:rRNA from 1 species